rnacentral:rRNA from 1 species
ACACCGGGGCGGCGUGCUAUACAUGCAAGUCGAACGAGUUCUCGUUGAUGAUCGGUGCUUGCACCGAGAUUCAACAUGGAACGAGUGGCGGACGGGUGAGUAACACGUGGGUAACCUGCCCUUAAGUGGGGGAUAACAUUUGGAAACAGAUGCUAAUACCGCAUAGAUCCAAGAACCGCAUGGUUCUUGGCUGAAAGAUGGCGUAAGCUAUCGCUUUUGGAUGGACCCGCGGCGUAUUAGCUAGUUGGUGAGGUAAUGGCUCACCAAGGCGAUGAUACGUAGCCGAACUGAGAGGUUGAUCGGCCACAUUGGGACUGAGACACGGCCCAAACUCCUACGGGAGGCAGCAGUAGGGAAUCUUCCACAAUGGACGCAAGUCUGAUGGAGCAACGCCGCGUGAGUGAAGAAGGCUUUCGGGUCGUAAAACUCUGUUGUUGGAGAAGAAUGGUCGGCAGAGUAACUGUUGUCGGCGUGACGGUAUCCAACCAGAAAGCCACGGCUAACUACGUGCCAGCAGCCGCGGUAAUACGUAGGUGGCAAGCGUUAUCCGGAUUUAUUGGGCGUAAAGCGAGCGCAGGCGGUUUUUUAAGUCUGAUGUGAAAGCCCUCGGCUUAACCGAGGAAGCGCAUCGGAAACUGGGAAACUUGAGUGCAGAAGAGGACAGUGGAACUCCAUGUGUAGCGGUGAAAUGCGUAGAUAUAUGGAAGAACACCAGUGGCGAAGGCGGCUGUCUGGUCUGUAACUGACGCUGAGGCUCGAAAGCAUGGGUAGCGAACAGGAUUAGAUACCCUGGUAGUCCAUGCCGUAAACGAUGAAUGCUAGGUGUUGGAGGGUUUCCGCCCUUCAGUGCCGCAGCUAACGCAUUAAGCAUUCCGCCUGGGGAGUACGACCGCAAGGUUGAAACUCAAAGGAAUUGACGGGGGCCCGCACAAGCGGUGGAGCAUGUGGUUUAAUUCGAAGCAACGCGAAGAACCUUACCAGGUCUUGACAUCUUUUGAUCACCUGAGAGAUCAGGUUUCCCCUUCGGGGGCAAAAUGACAGGUGGUGCAUGGUUGUCGUCAGCUCGUGUCGUGAGAUGUUGGGUUAAGUCCCGCAACGAGCGCAACCCUUAUGACUAGUUGCCAGCAUUUAGUUGGGCACUCUAGUAAGACUGCCGGUGACAAACCGGAGGAAGGUGGGGAUGACGUCAAAUCAUCAUGCCCCUUAUGACCUGGGCUACACACGUGCUACAAUGGAUGGUACAACGAGUUGCGAGACCGCGAGGUCAAGCUAAUCUCUUAAAGCCAUUCUCAGUUCGGACUGUAGGCUGCAACUCGCCUACACGAAGUCGGAAUCGCUAGUAAUCGCGGAUCAGCACGCCGCGGUGAAUACGUUCCCGGGCCUUGUACACACCGCCCGUCACACCAUGAGAGUUUGUAACACCCGAAGCCGGUGGCGUAACCCUUUUAGGGAGCGAGCCGUCUAAGGGUGACAAAAAGUUG